CCUACGGGUUGCAGCAGUGGGGAAUAUUGGACAAUGGGCGAAAGCCUGAUCCAGCAAUGCCGCGUGUGUGAAGAAGGUCUUCGGAUUGUAAAGCACUUUCGACGGGGGCGAUGAUGACGGUACCCGUAGAAGAAGCCCCGGCUAACUUCGUGCCAGCAGCCGCGGUAAUACGAAGGGGGCUAGCGUUGCUCGGAAUGACUGGGCGUAAAGGGCGCGUAGGCGGUUUAUGCAGUCAGAUGUGAAAUCCCCGGGCUUAACCUGGGAACUGCAUUUGAGACGCAUAGACUAGAGGUCGAGAGAGGGUUGUGGAAUUCCCAGUGUAGAGGUGAAAUUCGUAGAUAUUGGGAAGAACACCGGUGGCGAAGGCGGCAACCUGGCUCGAUACUGACGCUGAGGCGCGAAAGCGUGGGGAGCAAACAGGAUUAGAUACCCCAGUAGUC
rnacentral:rRNA from 1 species